AACUCCAGGUCAAAGCUCGAGGGAAGCUUCUCGAUUGUUCCCAGGUCAGCUCCCGCUCCAGUCCGCAUUAAUUGUUUGGUCAAGUUCCUAAUCGGAAUUUUUCACCUCCAACAGCCACAAAGAAAUGCAUGCUGAGAAAACCAUAACAAGAAGCAAAUGCAAACAAACCCAACUCACGGUGUUGUUGCCAGAACCAAAUGCCAUUUCUAGGCAAUGCAAAGGACCACACGAACCAAAACAAAGAAAGAAGAUGAUGGAGCAGAAAAAGAUGUUAACAGAGGCAGGUGGAUGAAGCCAAAUGUCACCGAACAAUCUACCCAUCUCCCAAAUGGGAGAAGAACACGAGCCCAACACAGCUUCCAUAAAACCCACAGAUGGUAAAGACUUGUUUUUUGUUUAAAGAGUAGAUAGGGAAGUAACACGUGAAACCGUAACUAAAAAAACCCACAUUUACAGCGACAGAUCGUACCUUCCCCGCCGGAACUGUGGGGAGACGGCUAAAUCAGAGGACUUUGCUAUUUUGUAAUAAUAGUGGGCUAAUUACAUUUUACACCCUCCAAUUGAAAUUUUUCACAUUCGAACCCCUUAUUUUACAAAUUUUCAAUUUUAUUCUAUAACGAAAAAUAACAUUUUGAGGCUUCCACAUACCAGCCAACAUUUGCACCACGAUAUAGGUCAACUACAUGGCAACCAAAAUCCACAGAAAACUCAACCAAAUCGGACCAAGAGACGAAGAAACAUACCUAAAAGUUAAAGACAGACUAUAAAACAGGACAGCAAUAAUACAAUCAGUACAUCUACUGCCAAUUAGUCAUUCAUCAACUUAAAUAUAUCAAACAUGACUACGUCCUCUAGCUCUGCAAUUUUGAUAGAGUUUCAAAAAGCAAUUUCUAAUAAAAAGAAGACAACACCAACUAAUUUAUUGGAAACU